rnacentral:rRNA from 1 species
UUCCUACGGGAGGCAGCAGUGAGGAAUAUUGGUCAAUGGGCGGAAGCCUGAACCAGCCAAGUCGCGUGAGGGAAUAAGGCCCUACGGGUCGUAAACCUCUUUUGCCGGGGAGCAAGGGCGGGGACGUGUCCCGGCCCGGAGAGUACCCGGAGAAAAAGCAUCGGCUAACUCCGUGCCAGCAGCCGCGGUAAUACGGAGGAUUCAAGCGUUAUCCGGAUUUAUUGGGUUUAAAGGGUGCGUAGGCGGUCGGAUAAGUUAGAGGUGAAAUCCCGAGGCUCAACUUCGGAAUUGCCUCUGAUACUGUU